rnacentral:rRNA from 1 species
GACAAACGCUGGCGGCGUGCUCAACACAUGCAAGUCGAGCGGUAAGGCCCUUUCGGGGGUACACGAGCGGCGAACGGGUGAGUAACACGUGGGUGACCUGCCCUCAGCUCUGGGAUAAGCCUGGGAAACUGGGUCUAAUACUGGAUAUGACUCCACGGUGCAUGUCGUGGGGUGGAAAGCCUUGUGCGGCUGAGGAUGGGCCCGCGGCCUAUCAGCUUGUUGGUGGGGUGAUGGCCUACCAAGGCGACGACGGGUAGCCGGCCUGAGAGGGCGACCGGCCACACUGGGACUGAGACACGGCCCAGACUCCUACGGGAGGCAGCAGUGGGGAAUCUUGCGCAAUGGGCGAAAGCCUGACGCAGCGACGCCGCGUGAGGGAUGACGGCCUGG